AUUGAACGCUGGCGGCAUGCCUUACACAUGCAAGUCGAACGGUAACGGGCCUUCGGGUGCCGACGAGUGGCGAACGGGUGAGUAAUACAUCGGAACGUGCCCGAUCGUGGGGGAUAACGAGGCGAAAGCUUUGCUAAUACCGCAUACGAUCUACGGAUGAGAGCAGGGGACCGCAAGGCCUUGCGCGGACGGAGCGGCCGAUGGCAGAGUAGGUAGUUGGUGGGAUAAAAGCUUACCAAGCCGACGAUCUGUAGCUGGUCUGAGAGGAUGAUCAGCCACACUGGGACUGAGACACGGCCCAGACUCCUACGGGAGGCAGCAGUGGGGAAUUUUGGACAAUGGGCGCAAGCCUGAUCCAGCCAUGCCGCGUGCAGGAUGAAGGCCUUCGGGUUGUAAACUGCUUUUGUACGGAACGAAAAGCCUUCUUUUAAUACAGGAGGGUCAUGACGGUACCGUAAGAAUAAGCACCGGCUAACUACGUG
rnacentral:rRNA from 1 species